AUGUUCAUCAUUAGAGAUUAUAUAAUUAAGGUGAAACAAUUCCAACCACAACUAUUUGGUUUGGGAACUAUAUGUAUCUUGCUGCUAGGAAUGUCAGGCACCUUUGGUAUUCUCAGUUUUCUUUAUUCUUGCUAUAAGUUUUACAUCACAACAAGAAAAACACCCGACGUGGGCGAUCUGCCUGCGAAGUGGAAACGGGGGGACGCGGGCGAUAAUGGCCAUUGCCUCCUGUACUGGAUCCCAGCAACAUGGUUCUCAGCUAGGUGGUGUAUGUUGUUUCAUGCUAUGAGGAGGAAUUUCACAAAGCUUAGGAGGCCAAAAUCCCACGCAAAUCAGGUAAACCUUGGGCAUGAGGGUCGAAAAGUUUUUUUCUUUGUCAAAGAAAUUCCUUAUUAA
rnacentral:rRNA from 1 species